rnacentral:rRNA from 1 species
GUAGGGUGCAAGCGUUAAUCGGAAUUACUGGGCGUAAAGCGUGCGCAGGCGGCUUUGCAAGACAGAUGUGAAAUCCCCGGGCUCAACCUGGGAACUGCAUUUGUGACUGCAAGGCUAGAGUACGGCAGAGGGGGAUGGAAUUCCGCGUGUAGCAGUGAAAUGCGUAGAUAUGCGGAGGAACACCAAUGGCGAAGGCAAUCCCCUGGGCCUGUACUGACGCUCAUGCACGAAAGCGUGGGGAGCAAACAGGAUUAGAUACCCUGGUAGUCCACGCCCUAAACGAUGUCAACUGGUUGUUGGACGGCUUGCUGUUCAGUAACGAAGCUAACGCGUGAAGUUGACCGCCUGGGGAGUACGGCCGCAAGGUUGA